UACGUAGGGCGCAAGCGUUUUCCGGAAUUAUUGGGCGUAAAGAGCUCGUAGGCGGUUUGUCGCGUCUGCUGUGAAAACCUAAGGCUCAACCUUGGGCUUGCAGUGGGUACGGGCAGACUAGAGUGCGGUAGGGGUGACUGGAAUUCCUGGUGUAGCGGUGGAAUGCGCAGAUAUCAGGAGGAACACCGAUGGCGAAGGCAGGUCACUGGGCCGCAACUGACGCUGAGGAGCGAAAGCAUGGGGAGCGAACAGG
rnacentral:rRNA from 1 species